CGGUACCAUGAUUAAAGCACGCCCUUGUGGGUAGAGGGGCCUGACUGUAGAACUGGAUGACGAGGCCAAUCUUUGCGCUUUUGAGCACUUCUUUUGUAUCUGGACUAAUCACUUAGUGGCGUCCCUACCUGGGUUCCCAGAGGCGUGGAACCAUGCUCGUAAGUCUUUUAAUCGUCGAAUUCUCUUUUUUCCCCUCUUUACGUCUUGCACUCGAAGGCGUUAGCUUGUGUGAAUUUUG
rnacentral:lncRNA from 1 species